GCAGAGGGAAUAGCUCAGCUGGUUAAGAGAGUGUGGUGCUGAUAAUGCAAAGUUGCAGGUUUGAUCCCUGUACGGGGCAGCUGCA